rnacentral:rRNA from 1 species
UACGAAGGGGGCUAGCGUUGUUCGGAAUUACUGGGCGUAAAGCGCACGUAGGCGGACAUUUAAGUCAGGGGUGAAAUCCCAGAGCUCAACUCUGGAACUGCCUUUGAUACUGGGUGUCUUGAGUAUGGAAGAGGUGAGUGGAAUUCCGAGUGUAGAGGUGAAAUUCGUAGAUAUUCGGAGGAACACCAGUGGCGAAGGCGGCUCACUGGUCCAUUACUGACGCUGAGGUGCGAAAGCGUGGGGAGUAAACAGG